GUGCGGGAGAGCCCCGGGUUACACCGGGCACCGAAGGAGCAAGCCUCCCCGCCAAUCUCUCAGGUCCGCGUACCGCGC
rnacentral:ncRNA from 1 species